AGCAAAGUUUAGCUAGGGGGGCCGAUAGGGCAUUAACAGGGAAAAGGGGGCACAAAGACAUACUUUUCUUUCUUAUUCUCAUUUAAAAUGUCUAGCUUUUAAUAAAUAAUUAUCUGACACACAAAGUUUUAAUUUGAUGUAAAAUGAAUAGAAGUCAAUUACUGUAUAUAGUAACUAUUAAGUCUAAUAUAUAUACCCUAGUAAGCUAUAGUACUUUUUCCUUUGGGAAGGUACCAUCUGUGCAGUCUGCAAUUUUGUUGAAGAAAGAUGUUGAAUCUAUUUAAUAUUUCUUGAAAAAUAAUUGAUUUCUGUGCAUUUUUUUUUCACACUGCAUCAAAUUAAGGUUGAUUACGUCGAUUAAGCAUCAUGAGGUGGAGCGUGAGGGGUGGUUCCCUAUUUUUUAUUUAUUUAUUUUUAUUGUUGCUGGGAGUUGGAACCCUAUUAGUUAGGUUGCUUAAUAUUUAUGCUAAGUACUCUUUAAAAUACCAGAAUAGGGAGGAUGGUGUAGGUUUAAGUUUAUUAGAUUGAUCAGUAUUGCUGAACUAUGAAAUUUUUUUUUUUGCAUACAGGUAUAACAGAAUAGCUUUAGUGUAGUUGUUGUUUUAAACUUGAGUAUGAACUUAUACAAAAUGCAGCAAAAUAUUUAAAAAACAGUUUUGUUGAUUAAAAAACACUAUAUCGGAUUCAUAUAGGUAUUGGCAGAUAUCCAAAUUUAUGAUAUCGGUAUCGGUAUCGGACAUAAAAAAGUGGUAUCGUGCCAUCUCUAGUAAUCACACUAUAAACUCAACAUUUCUCAGUUGCAGGGCUGAAGAAAAAUUUAGCAAUGUGUUUUUCUUCUUAUUAAGCUUUUCUACUCUUAGUCGUCCAUCUGUAACUGGUCAUGGAGUUGCUCAGCAACAGUAACCACUGCUAGUUAAUGUAAGCUUCUGGUCGUCGAGGUCCUCAAUGUUCUAAUGAUUCCUUUAAUGUAAGACAAAAAGGAGAAUAUUAAACAAUAAUUUAUAUAAAAACAGAUUCUUUUUUUCAGAUCAUACGGCUUGCAUCCACC
ensembl:lncRNA